GAUGAAGAACGUAGCGAAAUGCGAUAAGUAAUGCGAAUUGCAGAAUUCCAGUGAGUCAUCGAAUCUUUGAACGCACAUUGCGCCCUCUGGUAUUCCGGGGGGCAUGCCUGUUCGAGCGUCAUUAUCACCCCUCAAGCCUCUGGUUUGGUGUUGGACCCCCGGUUGUCUCCAGCCGGCGGCCCCAAAUAUAAUGACGGCGUCCCCGUGAGACUCGACGCACUGAGCUUUUGCAAGCACGCGUCGUAGUGCUCCGGGUUGACCCGGUCGCCAUUUUUUACAUUUUAUCAAGGUUGACCUCGGAUCAGGUAGGGAUACCCGCUGAACUUAAGCAUAUCAAUAAGCGGAGGA
rnacentral:misc_RNA from 1 species